UAAAGAAAGAUUCAUUAAAUGCAUUCCUUUCAAAAAGAACCAAGUUUCCAUCUUAUGCUUCUAUUUAAUUCAGACAAGAUCCUUAAGCAUAUUCAAGUACAAGUACACAUUCAUAUUUGUGGGCUCCAAAGGGAGGACUGUAUUUUUUUUUUAUAAUGUACAGGCAUGGCAAUAUAUUUCAGUCAAGUUCUAUAUAGAAUAUUUGGAUAUUAGUAAAUUCAGUGUACAGUUUAGCCACUAUUUCUUGGUAUUCUGGUCUAUUCAAAGAGUGUGUUUGAUUAGGGAGGAGACAGAUGCCAAACUGUGUUAGAAAAUACAGGGAGACAAUUUACACAGGCCUCAAAGAGCUCACAUUAACGCACAAACAUUGGCGACUUAGAGCUUGUAACUAGGGAUUACUUGUUUGCUAUUGGAGUGUAGUGCUCAGGAAUAUAAAAUACUACAGGUGUCUAAUAAAGCUAAAUAGAUAUGGGUCAGUACAUAGUACAGUACUAUCUAUUAUUAAAAUAUGAAAAUGGGAAGAGCAGUAGGUAGAAAUGAGAUGAUAAUCUCAUUAAGGCCUGCUGAAUAAUGAAGCAUGGAUCUAUUUUUCUGCUUGAUUAUUUGAAAUUACACUUUAGUAGGAUAUAGCUAAUAAAAAAAAUAAGCCAUUGAAACCUGAAAAAACACAAGAGAAAAGAGACAGUUAGAAUUGACUUCAGCUGAUUUCACAUUGAGCUUUCUGUAUAACUGUCUUCUCUUAACUCUCAGACACUUUAAAUAGUUGAGGGACAAGCAACAUGCUACUUUUACUUCACAUUCUCCAGUUACAAGAAAGCAAACAAACUCCAGUGCCUUCUGUUUAAACCACAGCAGGGUGAAAAGAAAUAUUAUCAAAUUCUAGGACAAUGAAGGCUGGUACAAUCAUUUCAGUUUUCAGUUCCCAGCACAGUUCUUACAGUGGUUACAAACACAACUUAAAAUGACAAUGAUAAAAUUAAUUAAAGAUUUCCUAAGAAACGGAUUGAAAGGCAGGAAGUUUGGAGAAGGCAGUGUUACUUUGAUUGGUAGAUAGGGAGACUUGGCUCAGUGUAGGAAAAUACUGUAAUCAAGUUAGAGACGUAUUUGGGUGACUGGUGUAAGGUUUUCUACCUUGAAAACUGUCUGUAUUGUCUGCAAAAUUAAAUUUAGAUGAAAAUCCCAAAGGCCAAAGCUGAAAAGCACUUCCAUGGUUUAGAAUUAAUGGCCACAAACUAGUUUAUAAUUAAGCACAAAUACUUAAAUAACUGUAACCAUAAUCCUAUGAUUAUAUCAAUUAAAAAACAUUUUUUUGAAACUAUGUGUUUCUUUUGAUUCUGCUAGUAGAUUGUAAUUUUUCAAAAGGUACAGUGACAAUAAAUGCCAGGGCAAAAACACAGUUCCUUUACUGGUUUGUAAAGUAAGUGUUCACAGCUCUAAUGAAUACACUAGAUGGCUCACAUCGCAUUUAGUGGCAUAACAAUCCCAGCGAGGAGGGGAGGGGGGAGUCUAUGGUUCUGAGACCAAAACCACUAAGAUUUAAUUAAUUUUGUUCUUCUCUCCCACCUAAAACAAAACCAAACAAUAAAGACAAAACUUCUUCAUAAAUAAAAACAGGCUACUACAGUUACUAAAGCUUCAAAGGCUUACUGGAAACAAUCAGGCAAAACCCAAACAAAGCCAUGUUUACAUACAUAUAUUUGGGCCCAGCAUCUCUACUAGUGAUGUGAUAAGGUUUCAAUAAGAUUGUAUAACUACUUUUUUUUUUUAAGUAAAGGAUCAUCUGCUUGCAAUUAAUCAUUUCUUUCCCUUUUGAAAAAAAAGAAAAAAGACAACUUGGGUGCAGCCAGACUUUACAUCAUGGUGUUCAGUCAAGGCCAAACUAGGAAGGAUACUGGCCAUCCUGUUUCUUCCUUUUUAGAGGGCACUCACUGCAAGCAUUUGAGAGGAACGGCCUUUCACUGUCUCUGCUUGCAUUUAGGAUUGGACAAAGCCCAUAUACACUUGCAGUGUCUUAUUCUAGAGCUCAGGUUGGCUUAGUUCUUGGAAUCCUUUUACAUCACCCCACGGAGUACUGGAAUUACAGGUAGCUGAGUGCUAAUGAAGCGCGGGGUCACAGCUUCCUACUUUGGACUGCCACACCCUGUUACCUACCAUUGCCCUUCAUUGAGGCCAAGUGACUACGCAGCCUUCAUCUCCCACGUGUCCAGGGAAGCCAGCCAUGCAGCUUUGAGUUCCUGGAUCCCAAGCCAGCGGACUAGGGGACCUCAGGCUAAAGCAGGUUCAUCAUUCCCUUCCAUUGUUGUGCAAGAAACCGACUGCAAGAUCAUGACUUUUGGAGCAGGAGAGAUGGCUCAGCAGUGAAGAUCACUGGCUGUUCUUCCAGAGCAUCUGAGCUUGAUUCCUAGCAGCCACAUUGUGGUACAUAAAUGUCUGCAACUCUAGUCCCAGGUCAUCCAAUGACCUCUUCUGGCUUCUAUGUUUACUAUGUGCACAUGGUGAUACAUAGACAUAUACAGGCAAAAUGCUAUAUGCAUAGAAAUGAAGGCUAUGAUGUUCACAUUCUGGAGAAAGAAAAUAUGAGAAAAGAGGAGCCAUGGAGAAAAAUAUGAUCAGGAAUUCAGUAUUCACACUUGGACUUGGCAUCGGGUUAGGGAGCUACUCAGCCAUUGGUCCACCUCCUUCAACCAGUGCUACAAUAGAAAUAAGAAUUUCACAACACACACACACAGGCACAGACACACACACACACAUACACACACACACACACACACACACACACACACACACACACACACACACACGGGAUGGAAGGAGAAAGGGAGAGAGAGAGCUCCUGGAGACAAACUGGCCUCAAACUCUACAAUGUAGCUCAGCUUGGCCUUAAACUCACAAACCUCUGGCUCAGCCUCUCAGAUCCUGAAAUUAUAGGCAUUCACCACCAGGCCCAAAGAAGUAAAUACUGGUUUAAAACAUAACUCCAAGCAAACAGCCACACCCUGCACCAAGUCUUUCCUAGAAGUUCUGGAUCUGAAGAAGUUCUGGUCUGUACCUUGGGCUCUGAGAAAAUGCAGCCCCGCUUAAGACAAAGGCUGAGAUGAGCCUCUAAACAUCUUCAAAUGCAGUCUUCAGAGACUCUCACCAGCCUAGCAGCCAUAAUGAGAAAUUGGAAUGAUUGUUCAGGAGUCCAAACCCGCUGAAUGCGCUGGGAAUGUGCUUCUGUAAUCAUUAGUGGGGUUAGGCAGGCAGGGGGAAGAAAUCAAAUAAACACCUCUAGCUUCCAUCCUGCACCCCUGGAAAAGCAACCUUGUCAGGAGCCUCGCCAAGGAAGGACAAAAAACUCAGAACUCCUCCGUACCUCGGAUCAGAACCGGUCUGUUUUCCCCACUAGUGUGACUCAGUGCAUAGGCCCAAGAAAUUCCACUAAAAGCCUAAAAUGCUGUACUUUGAUGGGGGAUUGAGCACUAAACGUUCUCACAGAUCUGCAGGAGCUGGGCAGAUUGUAGGAUCAUAAUAAUUCUUACAGGAAACAUAUUCCAGGCUAGACUCACAUUUUGAUCAAGCUCCUUGGAUAGUCUGAAGCUAGACUUCAAUAAAUACUUAGCAGACAUCUACUCAGUUUCUGACUCCUCCUAUAACAAUCUUUUUGUUCUAGGAGAGGUUUUAUUUCCCUGAGAGGCUUCAAUUACAUGAACAUGAAUAGAACAGUAAUAAUAAUAGGUGGGCACUUCAUGGACGUUUUAGCUUUUUAUCAAAGUGGUGAAAUACCUGGGAAAGAUGACUUAAAGAAAGGUUUACUUCAGCAUGGCUUCAUAAUUUUCAGCCCACCGUCUCUUGGCUUCAUAACUGUAGGCUAGUGUUGAGGUGUGACAUCGUGGUUACUCACUCCAUGGUAGCCAGGGAGCUGGGUGGAGGCAGGAGAGGGGAGACUUACUGACUGAGACUUGGAGGAGAAGGGAGAGGGAAAGAGAAGAACAGAGGAGGAGAGAGGAUGAGCUGGGAAAAGUUACGCUUCCAAGUCAGGUCCCCAAUGCCACCAGCAACCUCCCAAUAAUGUUGGUAGUUUCUAUCACUUCCCAAUAAUAUUUUCGGGUUAUGAUCCAUUGAUGGAAUAAUCCACUGAUGAUGGUCCAGUAUCUCUGAGCACUGCACUGGGGACUGUUACGGUUGAAUGUAAAAUGUCUCCCACAGGUUCAUGUAUUUGAACAGCUGGGUUCCAGCUGUUGGUGAUGUUUGGAAAAGUUGAGCCUUUAGGAAACGGGUCACUGGGACUGGCCUUGAGGCUUUAUGGUAUAGACUCACUUCCUUGUAUGCUCUGCUUCAUGAGUACCUAUGCAAUGUGACUGGUCAGAUUCCUUUUCCAGCCCCAUCUCCACUGACUGCUGUCAUGGCUUCCCUACCAUGACAGCAGCUGGUGAUAGCUUACCAUGAUAGGCUAUAUUUCUCUGGAACUGUAACAGUAGUAGAAAGUAAUUAAGAUCGGGUCUAAGCCUUCAACACACUAGUCUUCAGGAGACAGUUCAUAUUCAAACUAUGGCAAUGCAAUAUCUUGUUUAAAUUGAAAACAGUGGGCAGCCAUUUUAAAUCUAUGUAAAAGAUGAGUAAUGUGAAAGAUAACAAUAUCAGGUCAUUUGCAGGGACAUAGGCAAGAGCCAGUAGACCCAGAGUCAAGCACAGGACUGGGUGGCUCCAAGUUGGUGCCCCUUGUCACAUGCUAAUGACAACAUGGUUAGUGGGGCUUUCCUAAACCUGAAGACACACAGCUCUUGUGCCACCUCUUCUGGAAAUCCCCUUGACCAAUGAGGGUGGUUCCCAGGUAGGCUGAUGAGCCCAUGGGAAUGUCACCCUACCCCCAUCCCAACACCAAAAGAUUCUCAAAUUCAUGGGUAUGAGGUGAGACCAAGGUCUAAAUUUGUGUGUGUAUAUGUGUUUACGUGAGUACACAAGUGCAUGGAAACCAGAGGUCCACAUCUUCCUCAGUCCCUCUCCACCUUACAUUUUUAAACAGGGGCUCUCACUGUGGUAGCUUGAAUGUAAUUAGCCCCCAUAAUCUCAUAAGGAGUGGCACUAUUAGGAGAUGACUUUGUUGGAGUGUGUAUGAUGGAAGGAAGUUGAAGGGAGUGUGUCACCUUGGGGGCAAGCUUUGAGGUUUCUUAUGCUCAGAAUGCCCAGUGGGUCAGUCGACUUUCUGUUGCCUGCAAAAUGUAGCACUCAGCUCCAGCACCAGCUAAGCUCCCUGUCAGGAUGAUAAUGGACUGAAACGCUGAAACUGUAAGCAAUGCAUCCCAAUUAAAUGCUUUCUUUAUAAGAGUUGUCAUAGUCAUGGUAUCUCUUCACAGCAAUAGAAAACCUUAACUAAGACACUCACUGAAUCUGAGGCUCACCUAUUCAUCUAGACUGGAAAGCAGCAAGCCUCAGGAUGCUUCCAGCCUCUGCCUUACAAGAACUGGGAUUCCAUGUGGCCACCACUGACCUGGGGACCAAACUCAAGUCACCAUAUUCACACAGCAAGUACUUCUCUCACUGACUCAUCUCUCCAGUCCCACAAAUCUGAAUUUUUAAACUAGGGUUCUGUUUGAUUCUGACACAGCCCAACCCACACUCAUCUUUUGCAACAACUGGACUGAAUGCCUUAAAAUUUUCUUCCAGAGUUAAGAUUUUUUUUUUUUGGCAGAAGUGAGUCACGUUCCUUACUUCUGGUGCCCUGGGAAACAGAGCCCCAGGCAUCUGUUCUGUGAUCUAAUGAUCUUCCUGGGUCUUUGAUGUCCUAAAGCUGGAGGAUCCAGGAAGGUGACUUUUCAAUGGAUCUAUCUAGUCAAUGCUCCUUCCCCUCAGUGAGUUCCCUGGAGGCCCCUAUUUCAGUCUCUGAGACUUCAUAUUCCAGAAACCCACCAAGCCCUUCCUUUCGGAAUGGGCUGUUUUCAUGAAUGGCAUCCUUUGCCUAAAUCCAAACUCCUUGAGCAUCUUUUCACAUGCUAAGUGGCCUCCAUAGUCAAAGAUGCUGUCCAAGCUCUGUUUUUUCUACUCCACUCCAACCUAACACUUCAUCUUUCUCUGGCCUGCCAUAUGGAAGCUUAAGAGCUACAGUUCAGAGGAGGUGGACCAUCUCCAGAUACAGCUACGGCUAUGUGACAUUUUCCCUAGAGCCUUUCGGUCCGUUUUCUCUGGUUCACUCCUUGCCCUCAAAAUGCCCUCUAACUCCUCAGAGUUUUCUUGAGGCUCUUUGUCUGGGUUCUCCUUCUGUACUGAACCAUGUUCUUUAUUCCAGGUUUUUUUCUGCUCUCCCCAUCCUUAGUUUUCACGUGUAUUUGUCUUGUUUUCUGUACUGUUAGUUUUCUUGUUGUUGUAACCAAGUACCUAACAGAAGCAACUUAAAGGAAGAGAGGCACUUAGGGUGCAUGGUUUCAGGGGACAGUCCAUUAUGGCAGGAAAGGCAUAGCAGAGCUCAUGGUGACUGGAGAGGGCAGCAGGGGUGCCUCACAUUUCAGCAGACAAGGAAAGAGAGGAGGAGAAUAUGAGUACUGGACUCAUUCCUCCUUUUUCUCUUUUUAGUCACCCCAGACGUCAGCCCAUAGAUGUUGCUGUCCACAUUCAAGGUGACCUUGCUUCUUAAGUCCAACAUCUAUGGAAAUACCCCUCAAGAACAUACAGAAGUGUGUCUUCUGGGUGAUUUGACAUUUGGUCAAGUUGACAGUGAAGAAACUAUCACAUCUUCCAUCCCCUGAAAGUCUAUUGAGUUGUCCUCAGUGGCGAUGCUAUCAGUGUGUAACAAUCCCCCCCCAGGCAUAUUCAUCCCGCUAUGGAGUUUUCAGAGCUACUGUUGCUCCAACAGUGACACUUGCAGAUGAAAGCUCUUUUACACCAAGGGUAGGUUGGAGGUAGGAAAUGUCAUGAAAGAGGAACACUUCAUGGCAGAAGGAACUGACCAAAUGGACACAUAAAAAAUAGAAGCUGCAAUCUCCACCUCUUACCUUGAUGCCAAAGCUCCCCACUUCACAGAAUCCAAGUUCAUUCGUAAUGUAUUUAUCAUAAUGACUUUAAAGACAGUUGCACUCAUUGAGAAAGUGCUUUGCAACUAAAAAAGACUUGCUCAGGUUCAAGAUACUGUCCCUGCCUCAUCAGUGUCUCACAGAACCCUGACAGCCCUAUUAAAAUUGCCAACUUCUUACAUGGCAACCAUUUAGAAAGAAAAGAGGCUUGCUGUUCUAUCCUCUCUGCCUCACUUUCUAGAAAUGAAGCUUUUACUAGGAUAUUUGCGUAAUAAAUAUCAACGCUGAUAUUUUUCACCUUGCUUUAAACUCUAACUACAACGUCUUAGACCUGAAGAGUAGCAACUCUUGUGGCUGUCUUUGUCAAUGCUAGAUAUCCAAGUGUUUUUCUGCAUCCCAUCGGUUCUUCACAGUCUAGGGUAAACGUUUCCUAUAUCUGCUAUUCAAACUAUGGCUCUCUUCAGCUCCAGAUUUCUGUGGACUUCUAAGAGUCUCUGGAUAAGCAGAAAUACCUAAAAGAAUAUUAGCAGCAUCCCUCCUUGAGGCUGGUGCAGGACCUCAGAGCUUCUUUCCUGAACCAGGUAACCUGAGGUCUUGGAUGCAGAUGCUUGUUUUGCUUCCCUGGGCUGUCUUGCUGCGUCUAUUCUGAGGUGGAUGUGUCCUUCAUGGCUGCCUCGGUGAUGCUGGACAGUCUCUUCCCAGGAGAAAGGGUUCCUAGAAAUCAGUUGUGUUGUCCUAAAUCAGGAUAAGAGUGAAAAGAAAAAUGAGUACUUCUUUCUAUAGCUACUUUGGAAAUGUUUUUGGCUUUUCUUCUCCUCAGACAAGCUCCAAUAAAAGUCAAAUUCUACAUUCGAAAAGCUCCUUCCUGUUCCAACUUGUUUGCUGUAGCAAGCCUGUGAGGAAGGCAUUUAGAGGAAACUAGAAUACUGGGAAGUGAAGAGAUUUUUUUUUUUCCAGGUCUCACAAUGUGUUGAGCAUUGAAACCAAGGAAGACAAUGGACCGGCAUGCAUGGUAAAUGGGAGCUCUGCUCAUAGUGAGAAAACGUGAUUUGGUUGAUGAUUCUCUAUCAAUAGAGUUCCUCAGAUGAAGUGUCAAUAGUGUGUAAAGGAUGUAAUUUAUUUUUUACCAACUGGGAGGAAUUUGUAAUAAUACAAAAACUAUAGAAAUACUAUUCCAAGUGGUAAUUUGCUCUCUGUGUGUACAUAUAUGAAUAAAUAACUAACUGUUAAAUGUAUCAAUCUCUCUGUGAGAAUGUCUGUUUGCAUAAUAUAUGCUCAUGUAAGUAUCGACUCUUAUUGGGUGUUCAUCUAGAAUAUUGCUUUCAGUUUGAACUGUGUAACCUGGUGUCUUGUUUCUUUACUGUUUAUUUAAAUGAAUCUUGCUUUCCCACAGUCCCAGUGUCUUAGUUAGGGUUCCCAUUGCUGUGGUAAAAUGCCACAACCCAAAGCAAUUUUUGGAGGAAAGCAUUUAUUUCAAUGUACAGUUCCACAUCACAGUCUACCAUUGAAAAAAGUGAGCACAGGAACCUGAAGACAGGAACUGAAGCAGAGGUCAUGGAGGAGUGCUGCUUACUGCCUUGCUCCUCAUGGCUUGUUUGGUCUGCUUUAUUAUUGCACCCAGAACCAUCAGUCCGGAGGUGGCAUUUCCCCACAGUGAGCUAGACCUUCAAAAAUCAACCAAGAAAAUGUGCCACAGGCUUGCCCGCAGGUCAAAAUGGUGGGGGCAUUUUCUCAAUUGAAGUUCCCUCUCCCAAAAUGACUCCAGCUGGUGUCAAGUCAACAUAAAACUAGCCAGCACAUUCAGAUUAAGAAUUUUCCAUGUUUUUCCAACCAGUUGUUUCAAUAUUAAAAGGUUGUCAAACUCUUUAGCUGGAUGUAGUUGUACCCACCUUGGAGGCAGGAGGAGAAGGGUCAGGGGGUUGAGGCCGCCUUCCAGCUAUACAGCAAGCUUGAGGACAGCCUGAGAUGUAUAAGAGUCUGUCUCAAAAAACAAGACAAGAUCACACCCCCAACACCUGCAAACCCACUUCUAUGUACAUGUGUAUGUAUGUGUGUAUACAUAUUUAACACAUAUAUGUUAAAAUUUUUGGCAUUUCGAUUUUGAUCUUCAUGCAUAUUCUGAUUCUCUUUCCUACCAUCCCUCUAGAACCUAGAGUCUAGAAGAAUUUUACCAUGGGGAACACACAUAGGGUCAUAUGGUAUUUUGUGUGCUUGUCCACAAUUAUUUUCAAUUACAGUUUUCUAGGGUUUUUUUUUGAGGGGGGGGUUGAAUGACCAUUCAGAUCUGUUCAGUGGGAGGAAUCUGCUAGACAUCCAAGAUGACAGAUAUUCAUAUAUCUGCCGUUUUCAAACAGAAGCCUUUAAAUUACAUUUUCAAAUAAUGUGGUCAUCAACAUCCUUAUUGACUGUGCCUGUACUAGAAGAAAACACUCAAGCUUUUCAAGGUUCUUCUUGCUCAUAGCAUCCUGAGUCAGAGUCCUGUGGAUAAUGGCUGGAUAGCAGGAUGGAUGUACAUGCAUUCUGUAAUUCUUAGAGACUGUGCCAGAUGUUACUGGUACUCACAGCCUCAUCACGCUGACAUCUGCCAGACUCCAGUGUGUGGGUACCUGUAUGUGUUAUCUAAGGGUUGACCCAAAGCCCAUCUUGUCCACAGGUACCAGUGGAUUUUCGCUUCACGGGGAAACCUUUGACCAAUAACUGACGGGAGUUGGAGUAUAAAUGCCACCAUUUUCCCAUUCUCUGCUGGGAUAAUCUUGAGAUUCAUAUCCUCCAUCCUUAGAAUUUCCCACUAGCACCGGGAUUGUAUUACCCCCAUGGUUACUUACUUCAUAGCUUCUGCCACUCCUCGCCUUCACACAUAGAAGGUGGCUUUCUGGAGUCAUAACACAGAUUAAUUACUUAUGCUGGAACUUUUAUCUGCUACUGGAUGGUGAAGCAAGAUAGAUUUGAUACUGCAAUCAGUUUUCUCAUUCUGCUGUUUUAUUUCCUGGUCUUAUAAGCAUACAAAGCUCCCAAUAGGUUUUGUUGUUGUUGUUUUAGUAUUAACUACAACUCAAACUAUAGUACCACAAUACCUUGUCUUUGUGAUUGAUUUUAUUUAACUUAAACUCAGACAUUAUGCUUAUUCCUGUUAUACUCUUGGCUCAUUUCCAUAUACCAACCUAACCGAAUAACUUUGAAUAUUGAUUUGUUCUUUUGCUGUGUUAUCUAUCUCUCACAGACAUGAGUCAUCCUGAGAAAUCUGAUAAACAUGUCUUCUGUUUUUUCAUUCACUUCUUCAGAAAAAUGUUGAACACCACCAGUUGGAGACAGAGUUGUAAACCCAACUUCCUCUUCCUUAGCAGUCUAGAUUCCUGCAGUAGGAAAGAAUGCUCAUCGAUGCUUACCCAAACUUAAUACACAGAUUCAACUCAUUAUAACGUCAGGCAAAAUCAACUCGGUUAACUCAGCUGCUUUGCUGGGAUGUAGAUAAUCUGUCAUUAAUACAGGCAUCCAAUCUGCAGCCCUAUCAGGAAGAAAAUAUGCUAAGUUGCUUUAUUAUUAACAAUAUUGUCUUGCCUACUAAGAACAACUGGAUUCUUUUCUCUUGUGUGUGUGUGUGUGUGUGUGUGUGUGUGUGUGUGUGUGUGUGUGUGUGUGUGUUUUAUUUUGUAUUGUUUCCAAAACAGGGUUUCUCUGUAUAGCCCUUGAUGCCCGGGAACUGGCUCUGUAGACCAGGCUGGCUUCCAACUUUUCCUCCCAAGUUCUGGAAUUAAAGGCAUGUACCACCAUGCCUGAACUACUGGGUUCAUCUCUAAAAGCUUCUAGUCCUUAUUGGUUAAAAUAUUAAGGCAACUCCACAUAGUUAAAAGGGAGGUUUAUUUUAUAGGGUAACUUACAAGUGAAGGGAUAGGUUACAGGGUCUGGGAAAGGUGUAGCACAGUCUGGCAGUGUUCUCUGGAGAACUCUGCUCGGUCUACCUCCAGCGUCCAGGGUUCAGGAACCAAGAGAGCCGGCCCAUCCGGAUCUCCGAUCUUCAGAGGUCCUCUCUCGGCUCUGCUUUGUAGGCGUGACAGUUACCGAAGCCUCAAUGGGGGUGGCAUUUCCAGAUCAAAGCUGGAACGGCUAACCACUACAAGUCCUCCUUGUUCUACAAAUUUCCCAGGGAUUUAUGCAUGUUGGUGGCAGGAUUGGUCUGCUGAUAAUUGAAGGGUGGCACUAUAUGUCUUUAUUUGUGACUUUUGCCAACAUUUUUUCUUACUCACAUCUCUUCUUUCUUAACACAGGAACCUGUACUUGCUAAAGUCCUAUUUAAGAGCCUGGGUGUCAUUUUCUUGAAGACACCAGCCACUUUCACACCUGUGUCCCUUCUGAGGGAAGGCUGAUUCUUUCCUGGAGGACCCAGUUUGGCCCCGUGGCCCCAUCUCUGGCAGUCACUCUUUAGUCUUCUCAAAGAUAGGCUUCUCUCUCUUCGUUUAUCUUCCCACACCAAAUACAGCUUCAAGCUUUAGAUAGCUCAUUGAACAGCUUGAGAACCCAGGCUUCUGCUGCCCCAGCCCCCUUGAACCUUACGUGGGCAGCAUUCGGCCACAGGUCUGACAUUCAGACUUCGGUGUGAGCUCUCUCGGGAGCUCCUGAAGGAAUUUUCUCUCUCAUUCUUUUCUGUUUCACUGUCCUCAUUCACGUCCCAUAAUCCCACUCAUUCCAUAAUCCCAUUCAUCCCAUUCAUUUCUCCCUGACCUUGUCCAUAUGAGAAAUAUUCUCCUUUACAAUGUGACAGUCCAGGAUCAAACUCAUUUUUGUCUGGACUUGAGGUUAGGUGCCUGGUGUUUUGUCUUCAUCUUUCCCUUCCACAGGAGUUUUCCUUUUGGAUGCUGCCCAGUUCUUCUAGAACUGCACGAAAAAUGCUUCAAUCCAGUGAAAUGACCCUGAGAGUCAGGAUAGGCCCUUGUUCAGGGUCAUGUCCUCACAGAUGGGUCGACUCAAAGCAAUCCCUGGAUAUUGGAGGGACAAAGUGACUAGAUUCAUCCUUUCCUUCAUCCAGGAUUAGGGUCCUUGUCAUAAAUAUUUUCUAGAAUGUGUAUAGUGAGAGGAAGGGCUGGAGAUACCCCCGGGGGAGUUGGAGAGCAAGAAGCUGGUCUCCUAGUACAGAUUCUGAACAGCUCAGCCUUCCUCCUCAGGAAGCUAUGGGAAUCCAUGCAUCAGGGACAGCGACAGUCAGAAUGUUUUCUGCUGAGUAACUUAGGAGUAAAGAAAACCAGCCUGGGCCGUGCAAAAACCAUCCGCAGCCCAGGGAGCUCUAACAUGCUCUGCUGAGUGAAGCUCUAAUGCGCGCCUGCUCCUGCCAGAGUCAGCAGGGGGAGGGGAAGCAGAUCAGGGAGCCCAGAGGAAGAGCCAGCCAAGAUUCCUGUCUGUACUCCAAAUCCCUUCGCAAAGCCAUUGCCAAAAUCGAUUUUAAUAACUGAAAGAUUUACCUGAGUCAAACAUGGUUUUUAACUGGCAGCAACUAAUUAAUUACCCACCACUCACCUGAACAUCACAUUGGGAUGGUAUUUUGAUGCUCUCACAUAUUGAAGAGGACAAGUCACAUUUUCUUCUCCAAGUCGUCAAUUAAUUGAGCCAAAUCCUUCAUUAGACCCUUGCCUGGUCUUAUAGACACUUCAGGGUGUCCUCUGCCAGGAUGCCACAUCCCUGAGUUAGGGCUCCAAAACUUGUUAAGCAGUUUGAGAAAGUCAGUCCAUGUUAACUCAGUAUUUAAAAGAAAAUCACAAUAGUUAACAUUAAGAAAUCACAGAAACAUCUUCAUAAUUAAUAAAUGAAAAAAAAUGUUCCUGCAGCUAAUCAAUAAAGUUGUGAGUGAGAAUUGAUCGGAUGGGGAACUCUUCUUGUGGGUACAAUUUUUCACCUCUUCAGAACAAAAGACUCCCCAGAGGGCUGUCAACAUACCAGACACUAGGAAGUCUGACCCAAAACGGGGGAAAAAAAAAGAAAGAAAAGUAGGAUGAUUAAUUAAAAUCUCCAUGAGUGACAGCUUUCAUUCUGCAGGCAGAAGCAAAUAAGAAACUUAGGGAAAAACCAGAGCAGCCCAGGUGACUGGACUUUACCCCUCUUCAGAGGCACUCUUCUGACAGAAUGGAAUUCCAUCCUCUUUGGAAGCUAGAAGCAGGUCUAGCCCAUGGUGACCUCGGUGGCUCUGGUUUAUUAAGUGCACAGAAACUACAUUUCCCCAGGUGUGACAUGUCAAAUGUGUGGAGAUCUACUGGAACAGAAGAGCAGCUGGCAAAUUAUUUUGAUGUCUAAAGGAUUCAGCAUGUUCAGGAACAAAGAACUCAUGUUUCACUAGGUAACUGAUCUCAGCAAUGUUUGCGUAGAUUUUUCAAUUUAUGCACAUCUCCUGAUCCAGAAGCAGUGAGACUGGGACCCAUGAAUCCAAGUUUACAAAGAUGUGCCCUGAGAUUUGUCUCUAGUUCCCAUCAGUGUGUGGUCAUCACAGAAUUGGUCUACUCCCCUCUCUCCAGGUAUACAUCCUGGCAACGAGAUGCAUCUUUGGCCCUCUCCUUUAUCUUUAUUGGACAAGUCUUAAGUCAUGCUAUUCAUUGAGCCCAUGCUAUGUGCCCAGAGUUGUAGAAGGUUCGUGAGAAGUAUCUUAGUCACUUAAACCCCACCCCACGACAAUCUAAUAUAACAGAGUUAUCAUCGCUUCACAGAUGAGAAAGUGGAGACUUAAAAAGAUUGAGUUGUUUGCUGAAGUUCUGACACCAGAUUUGAACCCAGGCUCAUCUUCUUCCUAGGAAGACUCUCUUACCAUUGUGUCAUGCUACUGCAGAGAACAAGUCAGUUGGGAGGACACAGGGCGGUGUUCCUGGCUGGCAGCUCUGAACAUACAUGGACGUUCUUAGGCCUCUCACUUCCAGAUUCAUAGAACUUUAGUUCAUAUGACUAAGGUUAGAACAGUGUUUUGUUCCUCUUUGUAGAACAUUGGC